rnacentral:tRNA from 1 species
UGGAUGGUACUCGAGUGGUUAAUGAGAACAGAUUGUAAAUUUGUUGGUAUUCCUACGCUGGUUCGAAUCCAGCUCAUCCCA